ACGGCUCAGUAACACGUAGUCAACCUAACCUAUGGACGGAAAUAACCUCGGGAAACUGAGAAUAAUAUCCGAUAGAACACUAUACCUGGAAUGGUUUGUGUUCCAAAUGAUUUAUCGCCGUAGGAUGGGACUGCGGCCUAUCAGUUUGUUGGUGAGGUAAUGGCCCACCAAGACUAUUACAGGUACGGGCUCUGAGAGGAGUAGCCCGGAGAUGGGUACUGAGACACGGACCCAGGCCCUAUGGGGCGCAGCAGGCGAGAAAACUUUGCAAUGUGCGAAAGCACGACAAGGUUAAUCCGAGUGAUUUGUGCUAAACGAAUCUUUUGUUAGUCUUAGAACCACUAACGAAUAAGGGGUGGGCAAGUUCUGGUGUCAGCCGCCGCGGUAAAACCAGCACCUCAAGUGGUCAGGAUGAUUAUUGGGCCUAAAGCAUCCGUAGCCGGCUCUGUAAGUUUUCGGUUAAAUCUGUACGCUCAACGUACAGGCUGCCGGGAAUACUGCAGAGCUAGGGAGUGGGAGAGGUAGACGGUACUCGGAAGGAAGGGGUAAAAUCCUUUGAUCUUUUGAUGACCACCUGUGGCGAAGGCGGUCUACCAGAACACGUCCGACGGUGAGGGAUGAAAGCUGGGGGAGCAAACCGGAUUAGAUACCCGGGUAGUCCCAGCUGUAAACUAUGCAAACUCAGUGAUGCAUUGACUUGUGGUCAAUGCAGUGCUGCAGGGAAGCCGUUAAGUUUGCCGCCUGGGAAGUACGUACGCAAGUAUGAAACUUAAAGGAAUUGGCGGGGGAGCAC
rnacentral:rRNA from 1 species